GCCCAAUGUUGUGUUGCUACCAUGUUGUUGUCAUGUUGUGUUGCUACCAUGUUGUUGUCAUGUUGUGUUGCUACCAUGCUGUGUUGUCAUGUUUUGCUGUUACAUUGUUGUCUUAGGUCUCUCUUUAUGUAGUGUUGUCUCUCUUGUUGUUAUGUGUUGUUAUUGUCUUAGGUCUCUCUUUAUGUAGUGUUGUCUCUCUUGUUGUUAUGUGUUGUUAUUGUCUUAGGUCUCUCUUUAUGUAGUGUUGUCUCUCUUGUUGUUAUGUGUUGUUAUUGUCUUAGGUCUCUCUUUGUGUAGUGUUGUCUCUCUUGUUGUUAUGUGUUGUUAUUGUCUUAGGUCUCUCUUUAUGUAGUGUUGUCUCUCUUGUUGUUAUGUGUUGUUAUUGUCUUAGGUCUCUCUUUAUGUAGUGUUGUCUCUCUUGUUGUUAUGUGUUGUUAUUGUCUUAGGUCUCUCUUUAUGUAGUGUUGUCUCUCUUGUUGUUGUCUUAGGUCUCUCUUUAUGUAGUGUUGUCUCUCUUAUUGUGAUAUGUGUUUUGUCCUAUUUAUUUUGUAUUUACUGAUUUAUUUAUUUAUUUAAUCCCAUCCCCCAUUUGGCUUUUGGGAGGCUGUCAUUGUCAAUAAUAAUUUAUUCUUAACUGACUUGCCUAGUGAAAUGAAGUUUGAAUAAAAUUUAAUCUUUCAUGUCAUGGAAGUUGUCAUAAAAAAAACAACUUAGAAGAAAAAACAGAAUCACAAGCCACAGCAACUGAUUAGCUCAUUGUGUCACUGCGAGCCCAAAUCACAUCUAUUCUAAAUACUGUGGCUCGAGCUGACGUGCUUUCUCUCUCUCUACGACAUAAUCCUAGCUAACGCUGCGUGGCCUGGCCUGCACAUAGCACACCCAUUCGCUCACCAGUACAUGCAGGGCCCUUAUAGCUUUCUAAUAGCAUGUGAUUGCAAUGCUAAUAGCAUGCUAAUGCCCUCAGUGCAGUGCCUCAUCUAAAGGGACACUGACUGACUUCCUUCUUUCUCUCGCUCUCUGACUUUCAUGAUUCCCUUCGUCUUUCAAUCAAUUUAUUUAUCUAUUUCUUGCUCUUGUCAUAUUGGUCUCGACCUGUGUGUCUCGCUCAGUGGAACUAAGUCAUCAUCGGUACACUGGCUUCCAGGCUUUGACAGCAACCCCGUGCUCUCAUGCGUGAAGGUCUCUCUCUCUCUCUCUCUUUCUCUUUCUCUUUCUUUCUCUCUCUUUCUCUCUUUCUUUCUCUUUCUCUUUCUCUCUUUCUCUUUCUCUCUUUCCCUCUCUUUCUUUCUCUCUCGUUCUCUCUCUUUCUCUCUCUUUCUCUCUCUUCAGCGGAAGAACCAAUUUAGGAGUGAAAUGUCACAGCAUACUCCAAUCGUAUGAGGGUUCAUCAUCAGCCUAAUCUGAGCUGGCCCUCGUGUUGUUAUGAGGGUUCAUCAUCAGCCUAAUCUGAGCUGGCCCUUCUGUUGUUAUGAGGGUUCAUCAUCAGCCGAAUCUCAUGUCAUCAGGAGAGUCGAAGCGAGCUAAAGGCCAGCUAUACACAAGUCGUAGCAGACAGUCAAUCUGCCAAUGUUAUCUGUUUCUGUGAAGCUAAGGGGUAUGGAAAGCUGAGAAGUGUGCUCUUUAUGACUAGGGCGUGUGGAGUGUGUGACAAUAUUAUUUAUUUCUGUGAAACAGUUAGCAUAGCUAGCACAGUCGGCUCUCUGACUAGGGCGUGUGGAAAGUGUGUGCUUGCCAGCCUAUCUGCAAACACAAAAUCAUUUAGGUGUUGAUUGGUUCUUGUUGUUGGUGAUGCUUCUCUCCAGAAAUAAAAAGAAAGUUGGUAACGAUAUCCUCUUGAUACCAUGACAACUAUAACUAUAUCCUCUUGAUAGCAUGACAACUAUAACUAUAUCCUCUUGAUAGCAUGACAACUAUAACUAUAUCCUCUUGAUAGCAUGACAACUAUAACUAUAUCCUCUUGAUAGCAUGACAACUAUAACUAUAUCCUCUUGAUAGCAUGACAACUAUAACUAUAUCCUCUUGAUAGCAUGACAACUAUAACUAUAUCCUCUUGAUAGCAUGACAACUAUAACUAUAUCCUCUUGAUAGCAUGACAACUAUAACUAUAUCCUCUUGAUAGCAUGACAACUAUAACUAUAUCC